UGAACAUGGAAAAUUGCAGAUAACGUUGCAAUUGGAAAUCUGUAUAUCUGAAUCCAACACGAUUUCUCUGAAAGGUUUGACUCUUUCCUAUGUGAUCUCAGUAUUUUCACCUCUGUGUGAAUCACCUCUGUGUGAAUUUGUUGAAAAAAGACAACACGCCUUCGAACCGCACGUGUGAACUCAAGUAGACACGUGACACCACGUGAACACUGUGUGCCCAUUUAAACAGAAAGGAAGGAGACAAAAUCUCCGGUUGAAUGUCUGAAGCUGCAUGGAAAACUACCACAUGGCAAUAAAUGAAACGCCUGAGAAAUCACAGGAGAAAAUACAGACACAUCCGCACGUCAAGUACCUUAAAAAAGCGUGUGAAUCGUGUGAUUAUUCUGUAAUAACCCUGUGAUAAAUUGCUGUCAUGCCUACACGGCCAAAAUAUUGAACUUUCCAUGAUAUGGGGCAAGCGAAAUCCUGAACAGAGUUACUAUAAAUAAUUCUAAAUAAAUAAUAAUUGGAUAUAGAGCAGUGCGUAAAUGCGCAUCGGUAUCAUCUGUUCCUGGAACGGUCUCAAGUAGCCUGAUACAGUACAUGUGUCAUUAGAAUUCCGAAGAAAGACAUUAGAGAGUAACUGGAUAGAUGUUUUUAAAAACAAAAGAAAACUAGGCAAUAAAAUAUCAUGUUCGUAUUGCAUAUUCUUGUAGCUCAUAUUUAUUCUGCACUAUAUUAUACCGAGUAAUUCCACCUGUCCUGGGUGGCCUACUGCUGCAAGCCAAAUAGGGCAAGAGCACACCAAGCAUCUGAAGUCUAUUAUUAACCUGCAAACUGAUCUGUUUUUUUUUCCUUCCAAAAUUACCAUCGGAACCGCCUCUUCCGUCCAAGUUUACAGUGUAUAAGAAGUGCGGAUCCAGAAGAACUGUUUGGCUCAAGACACUUCCCUCCAGCUGGACACUAAGAUACAAUGUAGACUACAGUUAUCCAGAGCGACACAUCUUUGCCUCAUGUGAGAUUAAAAUGAAGAUGGUCUUAAGAUAUCCCCCCAAAAGGAAUAUUCUUGCUUUAUUUCUCUAUACGCCCGAAGCCACGUAAAGAAACAAGAAGUUACCAGCUAAAUGAUAGCGACCUGUGGGCUGAAGGUCACCUUUACUUUCCUUCUGAACAUAUGGAGUUACGGCAGGUGAGAAAAUGUGCAAACGAAGCUUUGAGUUAUUCUGCGAGUUCAUCUUGGGAUACCGAAACAUUCUAAACACUCGCUCAGAGGAUUAUUAAUCAUUUUGUCCAUAUGAUCCAGUGUUGCCAACUCUUAAAGGGAAAAGCAUGUAAAACAUGCUCAUAAAAGUCUCUUAAAUACACCAAAUGACAUAUGAUAAGCUGUCAUGAUCAUUUCAUAACAAAAUGUGUUACAUGAAAGAAGGAAGACUUUCUGAAGAGACUUGGGCCAGAAUUUAAGUUUGAUCAAAUUAAUAAAUAAAUUAAUAAAUAUACUAUUAAAAAAAAA